GAUCUGGUGGUGAAGUGCAUCAUGCCUGUUUACCUUAUAGGAUUAUUGGUUGUUGUAUUACGGGAGGUCCCUGGUUCAAGUCCGGGCCAGGUCA